rnacentral:rRNA from 1 species
ACGAGCUUCCGUUGAAUGACGUGCUUGCACUGAUUUCAACAAUGAAGCGAGUGGCGAACUGGUGAGUAACACGUGGGAAAUCUGCCCAGAAGCAGGGGAUAACACUUGGAAACAGGUGCUAAUACCGUAUAACAACAAAAUCCGCAUGGAUUUUGUUUGAAAGGUGGCUUCGGCUAUCACUUCUGGAUGAUCCCGCGGCGUAUUAGUUAGUUGGUGAGGUAAAGGCCCACCAAGACGAUGAUACGUAGCCGACCUGAGAGGGUAAUCGGCCACAUUGGGACUGAGACACGGCCCAAACUCCUACGGGAGGCAGCAGUAGGGAAUCUUCCACAAUGGACGAAAGUCUGAUGGAGCAAUGCCGCGUGAGUGAAGAAGGGUUUCGGCUCGUAAAACUCUGUUGUUAAAGAAGAACACCUUUGAGAGUAACUGUUCAAGGGUUGACGGUAUUUAACCAGAAAGCCACGGCUAACUACGUGCCAGCAGCCGCGGUAAUACGUAGGUGGCAAGCGUUGUCCGGAUUUAUUGGGCGUAAAGCGAGCGCAGGCGGUUUUUUAAGUCUGAUGUGAAAGCCUUCGGCUUAACCGGAGAAGUGCAUCGGAAACUGGGAGACUUGAGUGCAGAAGAGGACAGUGGAACUCCAUGUGUAGCGGUGGAAUGCGUAGAUAUAUGGAAGAACACCAGUGGCGAAGGCGGCUGUCUAGUCUGUAACUGACGCUGAGGC